AUCAUCGUCAUCAUCAGGACAACAUUAGGCAGAUAAAACAAGAUGGCAGCGGAGGCCUUGAUCUCAGCUAAGUCUCAAUCCUUCCACACCUUUAACACGCCUCAGAUCACCGCCAGCAAGUGUGGAAAUAACCUGGAAUGUCGGGUGUGCGAGGACGGGUUCAGCCUGGGCGGGGACAAGGUGCCGCGCCUCCUCUUCUGCGGCCACACCCUAUGCCACGCCUGUCUCCUGCGGCUCCCCACGCACGAUAACAAUAUACACUGCCCCUUCGACCGACAGCCCACACCAAUAAGUGCAUCAGGUGUGUGGGGGCUGAAGAAGAAUUUUGCGCUGCUGGAACUUCUGGAGCGACUGUCUCUGUCCCGGUCUAAUGCGGCGCUGCUCCCGGAGGUCCUGGUCAAGCAGAGGGAGCUCGGCAUUUCCUGUGACGAGGAUGAGGAGCAUUUGGCUGUCCUGUAUUGCACCGUCUGCGCCUCACACCUCUGCCUGGAGUGUUCCGAGCGCACCCACGCCACACGCACCCUUCACAAGCACAAGCGCAUCCCCCUAUCUGAGAAGCCGAGGGAGAAGCCGCGAUGUGCUGACCAUUCCUUUCACCCGGUGGAGUUCGUGUGUCUGGAAGAGGGGUGUCAGGCGGCUCCCCUCAUGUGCUUCAUCUGUAAGGACUAUAAGCACACCAAACACAAGCACAUGUUACUAGAGCAGGAAGCUGAGAGGAUACGAGCCACCAUUAGCACAGCACUUCAGCACAUCAAGAGAGUGGCCCAGGAGCUGACUGACUCGGCACAUAAACUGGAGGUCGUGGCAAGGAAACUGGAGGGCGGGCGAGCUGGCGACACCCCUUCAGAGGCGGACGAGGAGGGCACAGUGGAGGAGGCGAGGGUGCGUGUGAGGCAGUACUUUGCGCAGCUCCGGGAACAGCUGAGUCGCCAGGAGAGUCAGGCAAAAAAAGCGCUCGAGGCUCAUGUCAGGGAACGGCUUUGCUCCAUAAGACAGCAGCAGGAGGAUCUGGCAACACUGCUCUCACAGAUGGUGGCGGUUGUGGUUGACGGGGAGCGGGCGGUGCAGCACGAUGAUGGGCGGCUCAUCAUGGCCUUCAGGGACCUCUCGGCGCGCAUGGCCCACGUCACCUCACAGGAGCAGCAACUGGCCCAGCUCCUCGCCCUCACACCUGACCCAGCCAUUCCCAUCACUUUUACUAAGGACAACCGCAUCCACAUCGGGGCGCGGAUUGAGAUGCGCGUGGUGACCCUGGGGCUGGACGGGGCGGGGAAGACCUCCAUCCUGUUCAAGCUCAAGCAGGAUGAGUUUGUGUCCACCAUUCCGACCAUCGGCUUCAACGUCGAGACCAUUGAAUAUAAGAACUUCAAGUUCACCGUGUGGGAUGUUGGCGGCCAGCUCAAGCUCCGGCCCCUCUGGAGACACUACUACUUCAACACCCAGGCCGUGAUCUUCGUCGUGGACGCGACGGAUGUGGAGCGACUUCCCGAGGCCCAGACGGAGUUGACGAAGUUGAUGACGGAGAGGGAGCUGAAGGACGCCUCGCUGCUUAUCUUCGCCAACAAGGAGAACUGUGAACACGCGCUGGACAUGCCCACCCUCACCGACAGCCUAGGCCUACACAAGCUCUGCCUGGGACGCUCCUGGCACAUCCAACCCUGCGAUGCCCAGUCUGGUACGGGCCUACACCAAGGGCUGGACUGGCUGGCGAGGCAACUAGUACCUUCGGAAGUCCUCAACUCGGCUGGCUGAGCACCCCGCGAUGCCUACGUAGUGUUGGUUGACCCGGUUGAGUUUGGGUGAGACAGGAGGCAGCUCAAGGGAAAGACAGGAGUGAUACUGGUAAUACUUAUCUGGUAAUACUGGAAAAGGGUGUGGAAGGGAAUCAGGUCCUGUUUAGUCAACUUAAAGAAGGAUCAAGUAGGCUGUUUGUCAUCUUUUUCUUGUGUUUUGAUAGGAAAGAAAGGAGUUUGAGGUUGAAAAAGAUAGGAAACAGAGGGUAAUACUGGUUAUACUUAGCUGGUAAUACUGGAAAAGGGUGUAGAAGGGAAUCAGGUCCUGUUUAGUCAACUUAAAGAAGGAUCAAGUAGGCUGUUUGUCAUCUUUUUCUUGUGUUUUGAUAGGAAAGGAAGGAGUUUGAGGUUAAAAAAGGUCAGAAACACAGCUGGCAAUACUGGAAAAGGGCGUGAAAGAGAAUUGGAUCUUGUAUUGUUAACUUAAAGAAGGAUUGAGUAGACGGUUUCCCAUUUUUUUCUUGUGUUUUGAUAGGAAGGGAAGGAGUUUGAGGUUAAAAAAGGUCAGAAACACAGCUGCUAAUAUUGGAACAGGGUGUGAAAGGGAAUUGGAUCUUGUAUUGUUAACUUAAAGAAGGAUUGAGUAGACGAUUUCCCAUUUUUUUCUUGUGUUUUGAUAGGAAGGGAAGGAGUUUGAGGUUGAAAAAGGUCAGAAACACAGCUGGCAAUACUGGAAAAGGGUGUGAAAGGGAAUCGGAUCUUGUAUUGUUAACUUAAAGAAGGAUUGAGUAGACGGUUUCUCACCUUUUUCUUGUGUUUUGAUAGGAAAGGAAGGAGUUUGAGGUUAAAAAAGGUCAGAAACACAGCUGGCAAUACUGGAAAAGGGUGUGAAAGGGAAUCGGAUCUUGUAUUGUUAACUUAAAGAAGGAUUGAGUAGACGGUUUCUCCCUUUUUUCUUGUGUUUUGAUAGGAAAGGAAGGAGUUUGAGGUUAAAAAAGGUCAGAAACACAGCUGGCAAUACUGGAACAGGGUGUGAAAGGGAAUCGGAUCUUGUAUUGUUAACUUAAAGAAGGAUUGAGUAGACGAUUUCCCAUUUUUUUCUUGUGUUUUGAUAGGAGAGGAAGGAGUUUGAGGUUAAAAAAGGUCAGAAACGCAGCUUCUAAUACUGGAACAGGGUGUGAAAGGGAAUCGGAUCUUGUAUUGUUAACUUAAAGAAGGAUUGAGUAGACGAUUUCCCAUUUUUUUCUUGUGUUUUGAUAGGAAAGGAAGGAGUUUGAGGUUAAAAAAGGUCAGAAACACAGCUGGUAAUAUUGGAACAGGGUGUGAAAGGGAAUUGGAUCUUGUAUUGUUAACUUAAAGAAGGAUUGAGUAGACG